rnacentral:lncRNA from 1 species
CUCUUCAACAUCUCAGGCAAUGUGAACACCCCCUGUACCGUGGAGGAGUCCAAGUCUAUCCCCCUCAAGUUCUUGAUUGAGAAGCACGCUGGUGGUGUAGAGGGGGGUUGGGAUAACCUCUUAGCUGUCAUCCCAGGGGGUUCAUGUACUUCUAUGAUCCCUAAAGAAUCAUCUGCAGGAGGGGAGCUCUGUAGUUCGCUGGCUUCUGACGUGAACAAAACCAAGCCACCAAACUCUUCAACAUCUCAGGCAAUGUGAACACCCCCUGUACCGUGGAGGAGUCCAAGUCUAUCCCCCUCAAGUUCUUGAUUGAGAAGCACGCUAGUGGUGUAGAGGGGGGUUGGGAUGUCUACCCAGGGGGUUCAUGUACUUCUAUGAUCCCUAAAGAAUCUUCUGCAGGAGGGGAGCUCUGUAGUUCGCUGGCUUCUUGACGUGAACAAAACCAAGCCACCAAACUCUUCAACAUCUCAGGCAAUGUGAACACCCCCUGUACCGUGGAGGAGUCCAAGUCUACCCCCCUCAAGUUCUUGAUUGAGAAGCACGCUGGUGGUGUAGAGGGGGGUUGGGAUAACCUCUUAGCUGUCAUCCCAGGGGGUUCAUGUACUUCUAUGAUCCCUAAAGAAUCAUCUACAGGAGGGGAGCUCUGUGGUUCGCUGGCUUCUGACGUGAACAAAACCAAGCCACCAAACUCUUCAACAUCUCAGGCAAUGUGAACACCCCCUGUACCGUGGAGGAGUCCAAGUCUAUCCCCCUCAAGUUCUUGAUUGAGAAGCACGCUGGUGGUGUAGAGGGGGGUUGGGAUAACCUCUUAGCUGUCUACCCAGGGGGUUCAUGUACUUCUAUGAUCCCUAAAGAAUCAUCUACAGGAGGGGAGCUCUGUGGUUCGCUGGCUUCUGACG